GAUGAACGCUGGCGGCGUGCCUAAUACAUGCAAGUCGAGCGAACGGACGAGAAGCUUGCUUCUCUGAUGUUAGCGGCGGACGGGUGAGUAACACGUGGAUAACCUACCUAUAAGACUGGGAUAACUUCGGGAAACCGGAGCUAAUACCGGAUGAUAUUUUGAACCACAUGGUUCAAAAGUGAAAGACGGUCUUGCUGUCACUUAUAGAUGGAUCCGCGCUGCAUUAGCUAGUUGGUAAGGUAACGGCUUACCAAGUCAACGAUGCAUAGCCGACCUGAGAGGGUGAUCGGCCACACUGGAACUGAGACACGGUCCAGACUCCUACGUGAGGCAGCAGUAGGGAAUCUUCCGCAAUGGGCGAAAGCCUGACGGAGCAACGCCGCGUGAGUGAUGAAGGUCUUCGGAUCGUAAAACUCUGUUAUUAGGGAAGAACAUAUGUGUAAGUAACUGUGCACAUCUUGACGGUACCUAAUCAGAAAGCCACGGCUAACUACGUG
rnacentral:rRNA from 1 species